AUUGAACGCUAACGGCGUGCUUAACACAUGCAAGUCGAGCGGCAGCAUGACUGUAGCAAUACAGUUGAUGGCGAGCGGCGGACGGGGGAGUAAUGCAUAGGAAUCUGCCUUGUAGUGGGGGAUAACCCGGGGAAACUCGGGCUAAUACCGCAUAAUCUCUACGGAGCAACGUGGGGGACCUUCGGGCUCUACGCUAAAAGAUGAGCCUAUGUUGGAUUAGCUAGUUGGUAGGGUAAAGGCCUACCAAGGCAACGAUCCAUAGCUGGUCUGAGAGGAUGAUCAGCCACACUGGGACUGAGACACGGCCCAGACUCCUACGGGAGGCAGCAGUGGGGAAUAUUGGACAAUGGGCGAAAGCCUGAUCCAGCAACGCCGUGUGUGUGAAGAAGGCCUUCGGGUUGUAAAGCACUUUUAGUGGGGAAGAAAAGUUCAUGGCUAAUAUCCAUGAAUGCUGACGUUACCCACAGAAAAAGCACUGGCUAACUCUGUGCCAGCAGCCGCCGUAA
rnacentral:rRNA from 1 species